CCUACGGGAGGCAGCAGUGAGGAAUAUUGGUCAAUGGGCGCUAGCCUGAACCAGCCAAGUAGCGUGAAGGAUGACUGCCCUAUGGGUUGUAAACUUCUUUUAUAUGGGAAUAAAGUGCAGUAUGUAUACUGCUUUGCAUGUACCUUAUGAAUAAGGAACGGCUAACUCCGUGCCAGCAGCCGCGGUAAUACGGAGGAUCCGAGCGUUAUCCGGAUUUAUUGGGUUUAAAGGGAGCGUAGGCGGGUGGUUAAGUCAGUUGUGAAAGUUUGCGGCUCAACCGUAAAAUUGCAGUUGAUACUGGCAGCCUUGAGUACAGUAGAGGUAGGCGGAAUGCGUGGUGUAGCGGUGAAAUGCUUAGAUAUCACGAAGAACUCCGAUUGCGAAGGCAGCCUGCUGGACUGUAACUGACGCUGAUGCUCGAAAGUGUGGGUAUCAAACAGGAUUAGAUACCCCUGUAGUC
rnacentral:rRNA from 1 species